rnacentral:lncRNA from 1 species
UGCCAGAUAAGACCAAAUGAUGAGCAAGUCAACAUGAACUAGGUGAGGAUGAAGCGAGAGCCAGGCAUCAGAUCAUGCAGGGCCUUGUAGCUCAUAGCAAGGGGCUUUAUUCCAAGUGCAAUAGAAGUCAUGGGUUGGAUUUGAGCAAAGGGGUAAUGUGAUUUAAUUUACAUUUUUAAACAAUUGCUCUGGCUGGCAGCAGGCAAGCUGGUGCUGACAUACAGCACACCCUGAUUGCCAUCAGUCUGCUCCCAGAAUCAUCUACCCAACCAUCACAAGAUAUCACUUUGGGGCUGACAUCUUUGGGGCCAAGUCCCAGCCAGGAGAUGUAUGUCACCCAGGGAUGACAGUCUGAUCAAAAUGCAUGAUGGAUAGGGCAUAACCAUCAUCCCAUCACUCAUGAGCAAGGAGGCAAAAAUUGUCAAGUUAGUAGUGUCAAGAGUGGGGAAGGUAAUUUCUGACAGGUGAUUAAUGCCAAGGAGCCAGCAAUCAUCCAGGUACUGCCGAGAGAAAUGGGCAGUUAUAUAUAUAUAUAUUUU